rnacentral:rRNA from 1 species
CGGUCCUACGGGGCGCAGCAGUGGGGAAUAUUGCACAAUGGGGGAAACCCUGAUGCAGCGACGCCGCGUGAGUGAAGAAGUAUUUCGGUAUGUAAAGCUCUAUCAGCAGGGAAGAAAAUGACGGUACCUGACUAAGAAGCCCCGGCUAACUACGUGCCAGCAGCCGCGGUAAUACGUAGGGGGCAAGCGUUAUCCGGAUUUACUGGGUGUAAAGCGCUCGUAGGCGGUAUGUCAAGUCAAGGGUGAAAUCCCCGCGCUCAACGUGGGAACUGCCUUUGAAACUGGCAAACUGGAGUGUGUGAGAG